rnacentral:rRNA from 1 species
GAUGAACGCUGGCGGCGUGCCUAAUACAUGCAAGUCGAGCGAACGGACGAGAAGCUUGCUUAUCUGAUGUUAGCGGCGGACGGGUGAGUAACACGUGGAUAACCUACCUAUAAGACUGGGAUAACUUCGGGAAACCGGAGCUAAUACCGGAUAAUAUUUUGAACCGCAUGGUUCAAAAGUGAAAGACGGUCUUGCUGUCACUUAUAGGUGGAUCCGCGCUGCAUUAGCUAGUUGGUAAGGUAACGGCUUACCAAGGCAACGAUGCAUAGCCGACCUGAGAGGGUGAUCGGCCACACUGGAACUGAGACACGGUCCAGACUCCUACGGGAGGCAGCAGUAGGGAAUCUUCCGCAAUGGGCGAAAGCCUGACGGAGCAACGCCGAGUGAGUGAUGAAGGUCUUCGGAUCGUAAAACUCUGUUAUUAGGGAAGAACAUAUGUGUAAGUAACUGUGCACAUCUUGACGGUACCUAAUCAGAAAGCCACGGCUAACUACGUG